UAGCUUAUAAGGACCUAUGACUAGUUUG
rnacentral:piRNA from 1 species